rnacentral:snoRNA from 1 species
GCUUAACACUUGAUCUGUGAACUUCAGGUAAGUUCAAGUGUUGACCGGUUUAUUGAUUGAUGCU